rnacentral:rRNA from 1 species
CAAAAUGUGCUGACAGCCUGACCAUCUCUUCCCCUGUGAGGCUCGUUAUGUACCGCGUCGUAGUUUCCGGCAUCCACCGGAAGAGAUAAGUGCUGAAAUCAGCUAAACACGAAACUUGCCUCGAGAUGAGUUCUCCCUGAGACUAUAAGUCUCCUGAAGGAACGUUGAAGACGACGACGUUGAUAGGCCGGGUGUGUAAGCGCAGCGAUGCGUUGAGCUAACCGGUACUAAUGAACCGU